rnacentral:rRNA from 1 species
GACGAACGCUGGCGGCGUGCUUAACACAUGCAAGUCGAACGGAAAGGCCCCUUUGGGGGUACUCGAGUGGCGAACGGGUGAGUAACACGUGAGUAACCUGCCCUUGACUUCGGGAUAACUUCAGGAAACUGGGGCUAAUACCGGAUAGGAAUCCUUGCUGCAUGGUGGGGGUUGGAAAGCUUCGGCGGUUUUGGAUGGACUCGCGGCUUAUCAGCUUGUUGGUGGGGUAGUGGCUUACCAAGGCUUUGACGGGUAGCCGGCCUGAGAGGGCGACCGGCCACAGUGGGACUGAGAUACGGCCCAGACUCCUACGGGAGGCAGCAGUGGGGAAUAUUGCACAAUGGGCGGAAGCCUGAUGCAGCAACGCCGCGUGCGGGAUGACGGCCUUCGGGCUGUAAACCGCUUUCAGCAGGGGCGAAGCUUGUGGUGACGGUACCUGCAGAAGAAGCACCGGCUAACUACGUG